rnacentral:rRNA from 1 species
AGAGUUUGAUCCUGGCUCAGAUUGAACGCUGGCGGCAUGCCUUACACAUGCAAGUCGAACGGCAGCACGGGGGCAACCCUGGUGGCGAGUGGCGAACGGGUGAGUAAUACAUCGGAACGUGUCCUGUAGUGGGGGAUAGCCCGGCGAAAGCCGGAUUAAUACCGCAUACGCUCUACGGAGGAAAGGGGGGGAUCUUCGGACCUCCCGCUACAGGGGCGGCCGAUGGCAGAUUAGCUAGUUGGUGGGGUAAAGGCCUACCAAGGCGACGAUCUGUAGCUGGUCUGAGAGGACGACCAGCCACACUGGGACUGAGACACGGCCCAGACUCCUACGGGAGGCAGCAGUGGGGAAUUUUGGACAAUGGGCGCAAGCCUGAUCCAGCAAUGCCGCGUGUGUGAAGAAGGCCUUCGGGUUGUAAAGCACUUUUGUCCGGAAAGAAAACUUCCUGGUUAAUACCCGGGGAGGAUGACGGUACCGGAAGAAUAAGCACCGGCUAACUACGUGCCAGCAGCCGCGGUAAUACGUAGGGUGCAAGCGUUAAUCGGAAUUACUGGGCGUAAAGCGUGCGCAGGCGGUCCGCUAAGACAGAUGUGAAAUCCCCGGGCUUAACCUGGGAACUGCAUUUGUGACUGGCGGGCUAGAGUAUGGCAGAGGGGGGUAGAAUUCCACGUAGCAGUGAAAUGCGUAGAGAUGUGGAGGAAUACCGAUGGCGAAGGCAGCCCCCUGGGCCAAUACUGACGCUCAUGCACGAAAGCGUGGGGAGCAAACAGGAUUAGAUACCCCAGUAGUCC